UACGUAGGGUGCAAGCGUUAAUCGGAAUUACUGGGCGUAAAGCGCACGUAGUCGGCUUUGCAAGUCGGGUGUGAAAUCCCUGGGCUCAACCUGGGAACUGCAUCCGAGACUGCAUUGCUAGAGUAUGGGAGAGGGAAGCGGAAUUUCUGGUGUAGCAGUGAAAUGCGUAGAUAUCAGGAGGAAUACCGAUGGCGAAGGCAGGUCUCUGGGCUAUAACUGACGCUCAUGCACGAAAGCGUGGGGAGCAGACAGG
rnacentral:rRNA from 1 species